GGAUGUGCCGGCCUCGUGGCUUGUCCGAUUUGCACGGUGACUUGAUUACACGCUCUCAUUCACGGUCACUUCCGAAGCGCUUUAGUGCCUUCCGUCCCCAAACCGCCAACAGGCAAAGCGGCUUCCCUCCGCGGGGUUCGGAGUGACUCCUCAGAGCCAGAGGCACUUCUGCUCACCGGUCCGC
rfam:Mus musculus Hoxa11 locus antisense-23A mRNA.